AAUCAACGCUGGCGGCGUGCCUCAGACAUGCAAGUCGAACGCGAAAGUUCCCUUCGGGGAGUGAGUAGAGUGGCGCACGGGUGAGUAACACGUAGGUAAUCUACCUUUGGUAGUGGGGAAGUAACAACCGGAAACGGUUAGCUAAUACCGCAUAAUGCAGCGGCACCUAAUGGUGACAGUUGUUAAAGCGGGGGAGUCGAAAGACCUCGCGUCUGAAGAGGAGCCUGCGGCGGAUUAGCUAGUUGGUAAGGUAACGGCUUACCAAGGCGACGAUCCGUAGCCGGCCUGAGAGGGCGGUCGGCCACACUGACACUGACAUACGGGUCGGACUCCUACGGGAGGCAGCAGUCGGG
rnacentral:rRNA from 1 species